rnacentral:rRNA from 1 species
UACAGAGGUGGCGAGCGUUACUCGGAUUUAUUGGGUGUAAAGGGCAAGUAGGCGUCUUGACAAGUUGGGAGUGAAGUCCUGCAGCUCAACUGCAGAACUGCUUCUAAAGCUGUCGAGAUUGAGUCUGGGAGAGGAAAGCGGAAUUCUCGGUGUAAGAGUGAAAUCUGUAGAUAUCGAGAGGAACACCAGUGGCGAAGGCGGCUUUCCGGCCCAGUUCUGACGCUGAAUUGCGAAAGCUAGGGGAG